rnacentral:rRNA from 1 species
AGAGUUUGAUCCUGGCUCAGAGCGAACGCUGGCGGCAGGCCUAACACAUGCAAGUCGAACGGGCCCUUUCGGGGGUCAGUGGCAGACGGGUGAGUAACGCGUGGGAACGUGCCCAUCGGUUCGGGAUAACCCAGGGAAACUUGGGCUAAUACCGGAUACGUGCGAGAGCAGAAAGAUUUAUCGCUGAAGGAUCGGCCCGCGUCUGAUUAGCUAGUUGGUAGGGUAAUGGCCUACCAAGGCGACGAUCAGUAGCUGGUCUGAGAGGAUGAUCAGCCACAUUGGGACUGAGACACGGCCCAACUCCUACGGGAGGCAGCAGUGGGGAAUAUUGGACAAUGGGCGCAAGCCUGAUCCAGCCAUGCCGCGUGAGUGAUGAAGGCCUUAGGGUUGUAAAGCUCUUUCGGCGGGGACGAUAAUGACGGUACCCGCAGAAGAAGCCCCGGCUAACUUCGUGCCAGCAGCCGCGGUAAUACGAAGGGGGCUAGCGUUGUUCGGAAUCACUGGGCGUAAAGGGCGCGUAGGCGGCCUGAUAAGUCGGGGGUGAAAGCCUGUGGCUCAACCACAGAAUUGCCUUCGAUACUGUCGGGCUUGAGCCGGAAGAGGUCAGUGGAACUGCGAGUGUAGAGGUGAAAUUCGUAGAUAUUCGCAAGAACACCAGUGGCGAAGGCGGCUGACUGGUCCGGUUCUGACGCUGAGGCGCGAAAGCGUGGGGAGCAAACAGGAUUAGAUACCCUAGUAGUCC